rnacentral:tRNA from 1 species
GGGGUUGUGGCUCAAUGGAAGAGUACUUGCCUAGCAUGCAUGAGGCAUUGGGUUUGAUCCCCAGAAGCACA